AACAUCGGGAAACCGGUGCUAAUACCGCAUAACACAUUGAAAUGGAAUCAUUAUGAUGUCACAGGAGGAAUCCGGUAUAAGAUGGGCCCGCGUCCAAUUAGCUAGUUGGUGAGGUAACGGCUCACCAAUGCGACGAUAGGUAGCGGAACUGAGAGGUUGAUCGGCCACAUUGGGACUGAGACACGGCCCAGACUCCUACGGGAGGCAGCAGUGGGGAAUAUUGCCCAAUGGGGGAAACCCUGAUGCAGCAACGCCGCGUGAAGGAUGACAGGUCUUCGGAUUGUAAACUUCUUUGAUUGGGGAAGACGAAGUGACGGUACCCAAAAUAACAAGCCACGGCUAACUACGUGCCAGCAGCCGCGGAAAUACCGUAGGUGGCAAGCGUUGUCCGGAAUUACUGUGUGUACAGGGCGUGUAAGGCGGGGAUGCAAGUCAGGUGUGAAAGCCCAUGGCUCAACUUGUGGGACUUGCAUUUGAAACUGACAUCUUCUUGAGUCCUGGAGAGGGAAGUGGAAUCCCUAGUGUAGCGGUGAAAUGCGUAGAGAUUAGGAGGAACACCAGUGGCGAAGGCAGGCUUCCUGGACCAUAACUGACUCUGAGGCUCAAAAGCGUGAGUAGCGAACAGGAUUAGAUACCCUGGUAGUCCACGCCGUAAACGAUCGAUACUAGGUGUAGGAGGUAUCGACCCCUUCUGUGCCGGAGUUAACACAUUAAGUAUCCCACCUGGGGGAAUACGACCGCAAGCGUGAAACUCAAAGGAAUUGACGGGGGCCCGCACAAGCAGUGGAGUAUGUGGUUUAAUUCGAAGCAACGCGAAGAACCUUACCAGGGCUUGACAUCCCUUGACAGCUCUAGAGAUU
rnacentral:rRNA from 1 species